rnacentral:rRNA from 1 species
CUACGGGUGGCUCCAGUGGGGAAUAUUGCACAAUGGGCGCAAGCCUGAUGCAGCCAUGCCGCGUGUAUGAAGAAGGCCUUCGGGUUGUGAAGUACUUUCAGCGGGGAGGAAGGGAGUAAAGUUAAUACCUUUGCUCAUUGACGUUACCCGCAGAAGAAGCACCGGCUAACUCCGUGCCAGCAGCCGCGGUAAUACGGAGGGUGCAAGCGUUAAUCGGAAUUACUGGGCGUAAAGCGCACGCAGGCGGUUUGUUAAGUCAGAUGUGAAAUCCCCGGGCUCAACCUGGGAACUGCAUCUGAUACUGGCAAGCUUGAGUCUCGUAGAGGGGGGUAGAAUUCCAGGUGUAGCGGUGAGAUGCGUAGAGAUCUGGAGGAAUACCGGUGGCGAAGGCGGCCCCCUGGACGAAGACUGACGCUCAGGUGCGAAAGCGUGGGGAGCAAACAGGAUUAGAUACCCUCGUAGUC